rnacentral:tRNA from 1 species
UUUAAUAUGGCAGAUAAGUGCAAUGAAUUUAAAUUUCAUUUAUAAAAAGAUUUUUUUUAUUAAAA